rnacentral:rRNA from 1 species
CCCUCCGGGGUGCACCAGUCAGCGUAAAAGUCUAUUAUCGCGGGGAGCUCUCCCUUGUAAUUCCAGUCCUUGUUUGCUUCAAAAUCAAAAACUUUUUCCUUGAACGUAUCCUUCGUCAGCUGUUCCAUGUUCAACCUCAUCGUGCAGCGCAAUACCGCCGCUCUGUAUUUUAGCAUUUUAACAAUAUCUAUAAUACAUAAAAUACGAUUGAUCGUCAAGUGCCGGAGAAAAAUUUUUGGGGUGAAUUUCUAUAAAAAAAUACAUGUCAGCAUAAGAUCCUGCACUCCGGAAGGUGUAGACCCUCCUGUCCCCCGUAGGGGGCACGAAUUAAAGGGCUGAUUUUUAAUGGAGUUGAAUGAAUACUAUGUUGUGAUUUGAUAAUUAUUAAUUUUAUAGAGGAAUUGGCGGGAGAGC